rnacentral:rRNA from 1 species
GAUCCUGGCUCAGGAUGAACGCUGGCGGCGUGCUUAACACAUGCAAGUCGAACGAAGCACUUUAUUACAAUUUCUUCGGAAUGACGAUUUAGUGACUGAGUGGCGGACGGGUGAGUAACGCGUGGGUAACCUGCCUUAUACAGGGUGAUAACAGUUAGAAAUGACUGCUAAUACCGCAUAAGCGCACAGGAUUGCAUGGUCUGGUGUGAAAAACUCCGGUGGUAUAAGAUGGACCCGCGU